AACUUUUAGCAAUGGAUCACUUGCCCAGUGAAGCGCGAGCAGAACUGCGGCACUUGAAUUUCGAUAGGGAAGCUUGCUUUGGUUUUCGCGGGUGGCAGCUUGGCUUCGAGCGGCUUUAAGUCCAAAUCGUAGAUAGCGGAGAUCUCCCGCGCGAUGCCGUAAUGGUUCAUAGCGUCCACGCGAUUGGUGGUGAUGUCCAUUUCAAAAAUGGCAUUGUCUCCGCCAGAGACGCUUUCGACCGCAAUUCCCGCCAGCGUCAGGUCGUCGGCGAGUUUGCGCGCGCCGACUUUAUAGUCAACGAACUCGCGCAACCAUUGGGGUGAGAUUUUCAUGCUUACGCGAACUGCUCCAAGAAGCGCACGUCGCCGGAAUAAAAGAGUUGAAUGUCAUCGAUGCCGUACUUAAGCAUAUCAAUAAGCGGAGGCU
rnacentral:misc_RNA from 1 species